GGCCAGCAGCCGCGGUAAUACGUAGGUGGCAAGCGUUGUCCGGAAUUAUUGGGCGUAAAGCGCGCGCAGGCGGAAGCUUAAGUCUAUCUUAAAAGUGCGGGGCUCAACCCCGUGAUGGGAUAGAAACUGGGUUUCUUGAGUGCAGGAGAGGACAGUGGAAUUCCCAGUGUAGCGGUGAAAUGCGUAGAUAUUGGGAGGAACACCAGUGGCGAAGGCGACUGUCUGGACUGUGUCUGACGCUGAGGCGCGAAAGCCAGGGUAGUGAACGGGAUUAGAUACCCCGGUAAUCCUGGCCGUAAACGAUGGGUACUAGGUGUUGGGGGUAUCGACCCCUCCAGUGCCGGAGUUAACGCAAUAAGUACCCCGCCUGGGGAGUACGGCCGCAAGGUUGAAACUUAAAGGAAUUGGCGGGGGA
rnacentral:rRNA from 1 species